rnacentral:rRNA from 1 species
UGGGGAAUAUUGGACAAUGGGGGAAACCCUGAUCCAGCCAUGCCGCGUGGGUGAUGACGGCCUUAGGGUUGUAAAGCUCUUUCGCCGGUGAAGAUAAUGACGGUAACCGGUAAAGAAGCCCCGGCUAACUUCGUGCCAGCAGCCGCGGUAAUACGAAGGGGGCUAGCGUUGUUCGGAAUUACUGGGCGUAAAGCGCACGUAGGCGGACCAUUAAGUCAGGGGUGAAAUCCCGGGGCUCAACCCCGGAAUUGCCUCUGAUACUGGUGGUCUUGAGUCCGAGAGAGGUGAGUGGAACUCCGAGUGUAGAGGUGAAAUUCGUAGAUAUUCGGAAGAACACCAGUGGCGAAGGCGGCUCACUGGCUCGAACCUGACGCUGAGGUGCGAAAGUGUGGGGAGCAAACAGGAUUAGAUACCCGUGUAGUCC